AUGUCAAACCUGCAUGCGCUGCCGCGCCGGUCAGGAUGGCCGAGCGCUUCCCAGGCGACGGCGCGACGGCGAAUGGCUUCGGGCGCCGCCAUCUUCACGAUGACGAGACUCGCCUCCUUUUCGAGGCCGAGUACCCGGCCCCGCCGGACAUGCGGGUGCCCGGGGCGUGGAGGAUCAGCGCCGGCGGCGUGCCGGUGCCACCACCACCCAUCGGGGCGGCGCAGCGUGCGGAGAUCGCACGUAUCCGCGCGUCCCUGCCGCGGCGGCAAGGGAAGGCCCGCGGUACACCCCCGACAGCCCGCUCUAGGAGCCCUACUUCCGCCGCCGCCACGCCAAGCAGCUCGAGGCGACAAACGGCGUUGUGCCCUCCGGCAGGCUCAACUCCGAGGGCCGGCGCCGGUGGUAGGGUGUGCCCGGCCGCAUGUUGGAGACCGUCCUCGAGUACAUCGAGGGCGGCAACACGCCGCGCCUCGAGUACCCCGCUCCCCCGUCCUUCUCGCGCCGCUGUGGGAGCUCCUGGACGCCGAGGCGCAUGGAGCGGCCCGGCGCGUCCUCUUCCUUGUCCGGCCGCUCGUCGGGCUCUCCCUGCCUCCGCCCCGUCAAGCUGGAGCCCCAGGACACGCCUGUCAGCGCGCGCACCCGCAGCUCCGGCGUCCGCAUCGGCGACUCCACCCCCCAUCCGGCCGCUUCGUCCUCGUCGAGUCCAAGCCGGAGCCCAGCCUCCCCGCGGAGUACGAGGAGAUAGCCCGGCGCGGCUUCUCCGACGAGGACGCUCUGCAGUGGGCGCGGGACGACUACCUCAGCGACGAGAUGGUCCGGCAGCGUCGGGCCCUGGAGGAGAUCGAAGCCCGCAAGCGUGGGCGCGAGGACGAGCACGUCGUCGUGAUCCUCCACAGUGACGAUGACGAGGACGCCCCCGGACCGUCCAACCCGCCGCGCCAACCGGGGGAAGGAUGCAGCAGGGACGGCGGCGGCGGCGGCGACUACACGCGGUUCUACAGCCUCCUCGGCAUGUAG
rnacentral:rRNA from 1 species